rnacentral:rRNA from 1 species
UACGUAGGGUCCGAGCGUUGUCCGGAAUUACUGGGCGUAAAGAGCUCGUAGGUGGUUUGUCGCGUUGUUCGUGAAAACUCACAACUCAAUUGUGGGCGUGCGGGCUGAUACGGGCAGACUGGAGUACUGCAGGGGAGACUGGAAUUCCUGGUGUAGGCGGUGAAAUGCGCAGAUAUCAGGAGGAACACCGGUGGCGAAGGCGGGUCUCUGGGCAAUAACUGACGCUGAGGAGCGAAAGCGUGGGGAGCGAACAGG